rnacentral:rRNA from 1 species
CUCGUAGGCGGUCUGUCGCGUCUGCUGUGAAAACCCGAGGCUCAACCUCGGGCCUGCAGUGGGUACGGGCAGACUAGAGUGCGGUAGGGGAGAUUGGAAUUCCUGGUGUAGCGGUGGAAUGCGCAGAUAUCAGGAGGAACACCGAUGGCGAAGGCAGAUCUCUGGGCCGUAACUGACGCUGAGGAGCGAAAGCGUGGGGGCGAACA